GAUGAACGCUGGCGGCGUGCCUAAUACAUGCAAGUCGAGCGAACGGACGAGAAGCUUGCUUUUCUGAUGUUAGCGGCGGACGGGUGAGUAACACGUGGAUAACCUACCUAUAAGACUGGGAUAACUUCGGGAAACCGGAGCUAAUACCGGAUAAUAUUUUGAACCGCAUGGUUCAAAAGUGAAAGACGGUCUUGCUGUCACUUAUAGAUGGAUCCGCGCUGCAUUAGCUAGUUGGUAAGGUAACGGCUUACCAAGGCAACGAUGCAUAGCCGACCUGAGAGGGUGAUCGACCACACUGGAACUGAGACACGGGCCAGACUCCUACGGGAGGCAGCAGUAGGGAAUCUUCCGCAAUGGGCGAAAGCCUGACGGAGCAACGCCGCGUGAGUGAUGAAGGUCUUCGGAUCGUAAAACUCUGUUAUUAGGGAAGAACAUAUGUGUAAGUAACUGUGCACAUCUUGACGGUACCUAAUCAGAAAGCCACGGCUAACUACGUG
rnacentral:rRNA from 1 species